GGAAGCGUGGCUGAGUGGUCUUAUGCGCCGCACUCGAAAUGCGGUUGGGGGAAACCCCUCGGAGGUUCAAAUCCUCCCGCUUCCGCCA
rnacentral:tRNA from 1 species